UAGGACAAUCAGCCUGAGAGAGACUUCAGA
rnacentral:piRNA from 1 species